rnacentral:rRNA from 1 species
GAGGAAUAUUGCGCAAUGGGCGAAAGCCUGACGCAGCCACGCCGCGUGAAGGAAGACACCCCUACGGGGCGUAAACUUCUUUUAUGUGAGAAGAAGACCCUAUACGCUAGGGUUUGACGGUAUCACAUGAAUAAGCACCGGCUAACUCCGUGCCAGCAGCCGCGGUAAUACGGAGGGUGCAAGCGUUGUCCGGAAUCACUGGGUGUAAAGGGUGUGUAGGCGGGACAGUAAGUCAGAGGUGAAAUCCCACAGCUCAACUGUGGAACUGCCUUUGAUACUGCUGUUCUUGAAUAUCGGAGGGGUAGCUGGAAUUCGUGGUGUAGCGGUGAAAUGCGUAGAUAUCACGAGGA